ACGGAAGGCAGCAGUGGGGAAUAUUGGACAAUGGGGGAAACCCUGAUCCAGCGACGCCGCGUGAGUGAAGAAGUAUUUCGGUAUGUAAAGCUCUAUCAGCAAGGAAGAAAAUGACGGUACUUGACUAAGAAGCCCCGGCUAACUACGUGCCAGCAGCCGCGGUAAUACGUAGGGGGCAAGCGUUAUCCGGAUUUACUGGGUGUAAAGGGAGCGUAGACGGUAUGGCAAGUCUGAAGUGAAAUGCAUGGGCUCAACCCAUGAACUGCUUUGGAAACUGUCAAACUAGAGUGCAGGAGAGGUAAGUGGAAUUCCUAGUGUAGCGGUGAAAUGCGUAGAUAUUAGGAGGAACACCAGUGGCGAAGGCGGCUUACUGGGCUGUAACUGACGUUGAGGCUCGAAAGCGUGGGGAGCAAACAGGAUUAGAUACCCUGGUA
rnacentral:rRNA from 1 species